rnacentral:lncRNA from 1 species
UGCCUCUGACCUCUCUAUGGCAAGCCAAAUGGCCAUGGGAAGACCCCAUGGAGUGUUAGAAUGAUGCCGUUGAGGGCAAGGAUUUUAGACCGGUCAUGGAUUCUGCCUGUGCACUGGGCUCUACCACUUUCUAGCUAUCUGGCUACCAGCAAGUUACUUUAACAGUCUAAGUUUCAACCUCCCCAUUCGUGAAAUGGAGAUAAUGUCUUAGUCAUAGGGGUAGCAAGUUUACUGUAUAUCAAGAGUGUAGCACUGAGCCUGGCUCUUCAUAAGGAAACAGGCUGAGAGACGCAAGUCAAACAGCAAAGGAUGGGCUGGUGUCUGUCUGACUCCAAUACCAGUGGUCUUUUCUCUAUAACCUAAAGCAAUAAAACCCCUGCAACAUCUA